rnacentral:rRNA from 1 species
AUUGAACGCUGGCGGCAGGCCUAACACAUGCAAGUCGAGCGGUAGCACAGAGAGCUUGCUCUCGGGUGACGAGCGGCGGACGGGUGAGUAAUGUCUGGGAAACUGCCUGAUGGAGGGGGAUAACUACUGGAAACGGUAGCUAAUACCGCAUAACGUCGCAAGACCAAAGUGGGGGACCUUCGGGCCUCAUGCCAUCAGAUGUGCCCAGAUGGGAUUAGCUAGUAGGUGGGGUAACGGCUCACCUAGGCGACGAUCCCUAGCUGGUCUGAGAGGAUGACCAGCCACACUGGAACUGAGACACGGUCCAGACUCCUACGGGAGGCAGCAGUGGGGAAUAUUGCACAAUGGGCGCAAGCCUGAUGCAGCCAUGCCGCGUGUGUGAAGAAGGCCUUCGGGUUGUAAAGCACUUUCAGCGGGGAGGAAGGCGGUGAGGUUAAUAACCUCAUCGAUUGACGUUACCCGCAGAAGAAGCACCGGCUAACUCCGUGCCAGCAGCCGCGGUAAUACGGAGGGUGCAAGCGUUAAUCGGAAUUACUGGGCGUAAAGCGCACGCAGGCGGUCUGUCAAGUCGGAUGUGAAAUCCCCGGGCUCAACCUGGGAACUGCAUUCGAAACUGGCAGGCUAGAGUCUUGUAGAGGGGGGUAGAAUUCCAGGUGUAGCGGUGAAAUGCGUAGAGAUCUGGAGGAAUACCGGUGGCGAAGGCGGCCCCCUGGACAAAGACUGACGCUCAGGUGCGAAAGCGUGGGGAGCAAACAGGAUUAGAUACCCUGGUAGUCCACGCCGUAAACGAUGUCGAUUUGGAGGUUGUGCCCUUGAGGCAUGGCUUCCGGAGCUAACGCGUUAAAUCGACCGCCUGGGGAGUACGGCCGCAAGGUUAAAACUCAAAUGAAUUGACGGGGGCCCGCACAAGCGGUGGAGCAUGUGGUUUAAUUCGAUGCAACGCGAAGAACCUUACCUGGUCUUGACAUCCACAGAACUUUCCAGAGAUGGAUUGGUGCCUUCGGGAACUGUGAGACAGGUGCUGCAUGGCUGUCGUCAGCUCGUGUUGUGAAAUGUUGGGUUAAGUCCCGCAACGAGCGCAACCCUUAUCCUUUGUUGCCAGCGGUCCGGCCGGGAACUCAAAGGAGACUGCCAGUGAUAAACUGGAGGAAGGUGGGGAUGACGUCAAGUCAUCAUGGCCCUUACGACCAGGGCUACACACGUGCUACAAUGGCAUAUACAAAGAGAAGCGACCUCGCGAGAGCAAGCGGACCUCAUAAAGUAUGUCGUAGUCCGGAUUGGAGUCUGCAACUCGACUCCAUGAAGUCGGAAUCGCUAGUAAUCGUAGAUCAGAAUGCUACGGUGAAUACGUUCCCGGGCCU